rnacentral:rRNA from 1 species
UGAGUAGCCGACCUGAGAGGGUGAUCGGCCACACUGGGACUGAGACACGGUCCAGACUCCUACGGGAGGCAGCAGUGGGGAAUAUUGGGCAAUGGGCGCAAGCCUGACCCAGCAACGCCGCGUGAAGGAAGAAGGUUUUCGGAUUGUAAACUUCUGUCCUUGGUGACGAAGAAAAUGACGGUAGCCAAGGAGGAAGCCCCGGCUAACUACGUGCCAGCAGCCGCGGUAAUACGUAGGGGGCAAGCGUUGUCCGGAAUGACUGGGCGUAAAGGGCGUGUAGGCGGCUUUUUAAGUGUGAAGUGAAAGUCCUGCUUUCAAGGUGGGAACUGCUUUGCAAACUGGAGAGCUUGAGUGCGGAAGAGGUAAGUGGAAUUCCCAGUGUAGCGGUGAAAUGCGUAGAGAUUGGGAGGAACACCAGUGGCGAAGGCGACUUACUGGGCCGUAACUGACGCUGAGGCGCGAAAGCGUGGGGAGCGAACAGGAUAAGAUCCUCUGGUAGUCCACGCUGUAAACGAUGAAUUAUAGGUGGAGCGGGUGUAGAACACCUGUUGUGCCGCAGUAAACACAAUAAGCACUACUCCUGGGGGGUACGGCCGCAAGGUUGUAACUCAAAGGAAGAGGCGGGGGCCCGCACAAGCAGCGGAGCACGUGUUUUAUUUCGAAGCAACGCGAAGAACCUUACCAGGUCUCGACAUCGAGGUAAAUCCUAAGAGAGUAGGUGUGGAAUAGUUCGUACGAAGACAGGUGGUGCAGGGUGGUGGUCAGCUCGUGUGGUGGGAUGUUGGGUGAAUUCCUGCGACGAGGGCAGCCCCUCUGGUCAGUUACUGACGGCUAAUGAAGAGGACUGUGACAUGACUUCCGGGGACAACUCGGGGGGAGGGGGGGAGGGGGUCAAAUCAUCUUGCCCCUUAUGACCUGGGGUGCAAACGUGCUACAAUGGUGGUUACAAAGAGAAGCGAGCGAGGGAUGGUUAGCGGAUCUCAAAAAAGCCAUCUCAGUUCGGAUUGUGGGGUGCAACCCGCCCACAUGAAGUAGGAGUUGUUAGUUAUCGCGGAUCAGCAUGCCGCGGUGAAUACGUUCCCGGGCCUUUUACUCACCGCCCGUCA